AACGAACGCUGGCGGCAUGCCUAACACAUGCAAGUCGAACGAGACCUUCGGGUCUAGUGGCGCACGGGUGCGUAACGCGUGGGAAUCUGCCCUUGGGUUCGGAAUAACAGUUGGAAACGACUGCUAAUACCGGAUGAUGACAUAAGUCCAAAGAUUUAUCGCCCAAGGAUGAGCCCGCGUAGGAUUAGCUAGUUGGUGAGGUAAAGGCUCACCAAGGCGACGAUCCUUAGCUGGUCUGAGAGGAUGAUCAGCCACACUGGGACUGAGACACGGCCCAGACUCCUACGGGAGGCAGCAGUGGGGAAUAUUGGACAAUGGGCGAAAGCCUGAUCCAGCAAUGCCGCGUGAGUGAUGAAGGCCUUAGGGUUGUAAAGCUCUUUUACCCGGGAUGAUAAUGACAGUACCGGGAGAAUAAGCUCCGGCUAACUCCGUG
rnacentral:rRNA from 1 species